rnacentral:rRNA from 1 species
CCCUUAGAUGUCCUGGGCCGCACGCGCGCUACACUGAGUGUCUGAGAUACGAGUCUGCCUGGUCCGGCAAGGUCUAGGUAAUCGCUAAAAGACACAUCAUGCUUGGGAUAGAUUAUUGCAAAUAUUAAUCUUGAACGAGGAAUUCCUAGUAAGCGCAAGUCAACAGCUUGCGUUGAUUACGUCCCUGCCCUUUGUACACACCGCCCGUCGCUACUACUGAUUGGAUGUUUCGGUGAAGAUUCCGGAUAGGACUUUUUUGAUUUAUUUCAAUUUUGUCUUAAAAGCUAUCUAAACCUCAACAUUUAGAGGAAGGUGAAGUCGUAACA